rnacentral:lncRNA from 1 species
UCGUUUUCAAAAUAUUCUUGUCAAUAGAUUCAAACAGAUAAUAAUUUGCCUUCGAGUCCUUUAGCUUUUUCUCCUUCAAGGUUCGACGUUCUGCUGCUCCUGUGAGUGACUCUGGUGUUUUAGGAUCUUCAUAGUCUUGCUCCACUAAGAUCCAGUACUCCUUUGAUCUCAACAAGUUUUCCAUUAGCAUGGACCAGUGAUCAUAGUCUCCGUCAAACUUCGGAAUACUGAUAAGAUUAUUGUCGUCAGCCAUGACUUGUUAUCGCUUCCUCUCCUGUGUUUCACUCAAUUUCUCUUUUUGUCAUUUCUAAAAACCAGGCCCUUAUGCGCG